rnacentral:rRNA from 1 species
GGCGAACGCUGGCGGCAGGCCUAACACAUGCAAGUCGAACGACCCCUUCGGGGGUAGUGGCAAACGAGUGAGUAACGCGUGGGAAUCUGCCCCAGACUCAGGGAUACCCGGCCGAAAGGUCGGCUAAUACCUGAUAUUCUCGCAAGAGAAAAGAUUUAUCGGUUUGGGAGGAGCCUGCGUCCUAUCAGCUUGUUGGUGGGGUAAAAGCCUACCAAGGCAACGACGGGUAGCUGAACUGAGAGGUUGAUCAGCCACGCUGGGACUGAGACACGGCCCAGACACCUACGGGUGGCAGCAGUGAGGAAUCGUGCGCAAUGGGCGAAAGCCUGACGCCGCGACACCGCGUGAGGGAAGAAGCUCUUCGGAGUGUAAACCUCUUUUUUAUGGGACGAUUAUGACGGUACCAUAAGAAUAAGCCACGGCAAACUCCGUGCCAGCAGCCGCAGUAA